UAUGGAGCAAGCGUUAUCCGGAUUUACUGGGUGUAAAGGGAGCGCAGGCGGCACGGCAAGUCAGAUGUGAAAGCCCGGGGCUCAACCCCGGGACUGCAUUUGAAACUGCCGUGCUGGAGUGUCGGAGAGGCAAGUGGAAUUCCUAGUGUAGCGGUGAAAUGCGUAGAUAUUAGGAGGAACACCAGUGGCGAAGGCGGCUUGCUGGACGAUAACUGACGCUGAGGCUCGAAAGCGUGGGGAGCAAA
rnacentral:rRNA from 1 species